GAUGAACGCUGGCGGCGUGCCUAAUACAUGCAAGUCGAGCGAACGGACGAGAAGCUUGCUUCUCUGAUGUUAGCGGCGGACGGGUGAGUAACACGUGGAUAACCUACCUAUAAGACUGGGAUAACUUCGGGAAACCGGAGCUAAUACCGGAUAAUAUUUUGAACCACAUGGUUCAAAAGUGAAAGACGGUCUUGCUGUCACUUAUAGAUGGAUCCGCGCUGCAUUAGCUAGUUGGUAAGGUAACGGCUUACCAAGGCAACGAUGCAUAGCCGACCUGAGAGGGUGAUCGGCCACACUGGAACUGAGACACGGUCCAGACUCCUACGGGAGGCAGCAGUAGGGAAUCUUCCGCAAUGGGCGAAAGCCUGACGGAGCAACGCCGCGUGAGUGAUGAAGGUCUUCGGAUCGUAAAACUCUGUUAUUAGGGAAGAACAUAUGUGUAAGUAACUGUGCACAUCUUGACGGUACCUAAUCAGAAAGCCACGGCUAACUACGU
rnacentral:rRNA from 1 species